rnacentral:lncRNA from 1 species
UUUUAUAUAUAUUAUAAAAAAUUAUUAAUUUGGAGACAAUUUAAAUAGUUAAAAUAAUAAAAUUUGAUUGGUAAACACGACAGUGUUUGGUUAGGGGAUAGGAAUAGGAAUAGAUACUUAUCCUCCUUUAUAUCCAAACGCUAAAUUUUUACCUGAGAAUAGUACUUCUCGGUUAUCCCCACCAACACCUCCAUUUUUUAUACAAAAUUAUGUAAAAUUGUUCUUAUCUUCAAGAACAACUCAAUUUUCAUCCAAACAUUAUUUUUUUUAUCCCUAUAUUUGUAUCAUUUUUGUAAUAGCUAAUUUUUAUUUAUACCCGAACUAAACGGUAUCUAGUUAUCAUCAAAAAUAUUUAAUGACAAGUACGAAUUUUGAAAACUAAUAUAAUAUUUGUGUUUCGAUACGAAACGUGAGAUCGAAGGACGUAAAUACCUUAAUACAAUAUGUGAGCUGUAUCGAUCGUAUCUAUUUCACCCUCGCAUUUAUUAAUCCUAUCAUCACUUUUGUGCACCCCUACAAAGGGAAUUAGUAUUGUAGCCCAUCCACUACAUAUACCUGCUACUAUAUAUAUAUAUAUAUAUAUAUAUAGAAUUUAGCUUCUAUGCUUUUAAAAGUACCAAGUCAAUUGUGCUUGUAAAUUUUUAGCUUUUGGAUUAAUAGAUGUGUGGGUAGGAUGAUGUCGGCCCUUUUGGGUUGAGUGGGUGGUUGGUUGAAUAGUAUAAUUUAACGGAUGAAAAUGAUCAAAGACGUAGAUCUAACGGUAAAAAAUUCACAAGCACCAAGUGCUUGGUACUUUUACAAGCACCAUAGCCGGACUCUAUAUAUAUAUAUAUAUAUUAUGAUAUUUUAAAAAUAUAUGUAAAAGAAUUUAGGAUUCAAGGUUCAAAAUUUUU